GCAAGUCGAACGAUGAACCUCUUCGGAGGGGAUUAGUGGCGAACGGGUGAGUAACACGUGGGCAAUCUGCCCUGCACUCUGGGACAAGCCCUGGAAACGGGGUCUAAUACCGGAUACGACCAUCUCGGGCAUCCGAUGGUGGUGGAAAGCUCCGGCGGUGCAGGAUGAGCCCGCGGCCUAUCAGCUUGUUGGUGGGGUGAUGGCCUACCAAGGCGACGACGGGUAGCCGGCCUGAGAGGGCGACCGGCCACACUGGGACUGAGACACGGCCCAGACUCCUACGGGAGGCAGCAGUGGGGAAUAUUGCACAAUGGGCGGAAGCCUGAUGCAGCGACGCCGCGUGAGGGAUGACGGCCUUCGGGUUGUAAACCUCUUUCAGCAGGGAAGAAGCGUGAGUGACGGUACCUGCAGAAGAAGCACCGGCUAACUACGUGCCAGCAGCCGCGGUAAUACGUAGGGUGCGAGCGUUGUCCGGAAUUAUUGGGCGUAAAGAGCUCGUAGGCGGCUUGUCGCGUCGGAUGUGAAAGCCCGGGGCUUAACCCCGGGUCUGCAUUCGAUACGGGCAGGCUAGAGUUCGGUAGGGGAGAUCGGAAUUCCUGGUGUAGCGGUGAAAUGCGCAGAUAUCAGGAGGAACACCGGUGGCGAAGGCGGAUCUCUGGGCCGAUACUGACGCUGAGGAGCGAAAGCGUGGGGAGCGAACAGGAUUAGAUACCCUGGUAGUCCACGCCGUAACGUUGGGAACUAGGUGUGGGCGACAUUCCACGUCGUCCGUGCCGCAGCUAACGCAUUAAGUUCCCCGCCUGGGGAGUACGGCCGCAAGGCUAAAACU
rnacentral:rRNA from 1 species